GUGCCCACUUUGGCAGCACGUAUACAAAAAUUGGAAUGAUACAGGGCAGAUUAGCAUGGCCCCUGGGCAAGGAUGAUAUGCAAAUUCUUAAAAUGUUCCAUAUUUUU